GCCGGAAGAGAAGGAACAGAAGAA
rnacentral:piRNA from 1 species